rnacentral:rRNA from 1 species
AACGAACGCUGGCGGCAUGCCUAACACAUGCAAGUCGAACGAGACCUUCGGGUCUAGUGGCGCACGGGUGCGUAACGCGUGCGAACCUGCCCUUAGGUUCGGAAUAACUCCCCGAAAGGGGUGCUAAUACCGGAUAAUGUCUUCGGACCAAAGAUUUAUCGCCUUUGGAUGGGCCCGCGUUGGAUUAGCUAGUUGGUAGGGUAAAAGCCUACCAAGGCGACGAUCCAUAGCUGGUCUGAGAGGAUGAUCAGCCACACUGGGACUGAGACACGGCCCAGACUCCUACGGGAGGCAGCAGUGGGGAAUAUUGGACAAUGGGCGAAAGUCUGAUCCAGCAAUGCCGCGUGAGUGAUGAAGGCCUUAGGGUUGUAAAGCUCUUUUACCCGGGAUGAUAAUGACAGUACCGGGAGAAUAAGCGCCGGCUAACUCCGUG